AGAACAGCAUGUGAUGUUACAUACCAUAUGUUCUGAAACACCGAGCAAAUUGCAAGUGGCAAGAAGUGCUCCUUGUUAUGGGAAAGUUCAGAGUGCUGAGCAAAACGGAUGAUGGUUUUUUGGUUGGUUGGUUGGUUGGUUGGUUGGUUGGUUGGUUGGGUUUUUUGUUGUUGGUUUUUCCACAUUCUUGGGACAGAGUUGUCCCCUUUUGACAAUACUGUGGUCCCUGAAAUGAAAGAAAUAGCUUUAAACUUGCCUCCAGGCUUGACCUUCACUCCUACUCCACAGGUCUAAUAUACAUAAAUCGAUUUUCUGAUGCAAGUGAAUACAGACAGACACCUAUCAGUGUUCGAGAUUGCAGAGCCAAACGUUGUUUGUGAGAGACCUGUGAUGCUUAUGUUUGCUAUUUUAGAAAGUAGCUCAAAAAAUAUUGUCUAAAAUAUGGGCUAAUUUAGACCAUAAAUACACAGAUGACAGCAUUGCUCAGCUCUCGCAGAAGAAUUUUAGAUACCGAAGCGUCUUUCCUCAAUCAGGGACUGAUGCACUAAGCACAGUGCUCAGUAUUGUACCCAUAUUCCAGUGUUUUCAUAGUCACAAAUGCACACCUCAAGCAGCUGUAAGAGUGGGAAAUCACCUCUUAUUUUCCUAGACCGUCAAGUUUCUAUGCUUUGUAUUGGCUAUAAAGCACUGUGUAGGAAUUGUUUUUCCUAUCUCAGUCAUUCAUCCAAGUUGUUAUGAGCCCAAGUAGUAGACUCCAAUUCUUGCAAAUUUUUGAACAUUAUUCACUUCUGCACAGAGAUGUCAGACUACAAGGCUGUCAAUUUAUGUGCAUUUCCUAUACCAGUAAGAUGAAUGGGUCGUAAUUAACCUCACGUGAAGCACUAUGCUUCGUUGACUGCUGUUUUAGUGAGGCCCACACAAUAAAAGUGGGGUUUCUCUCUGUGCCAAGCUUAACUCAAUGUGACGGUGAUGCUGCACAGUUGCCAUUUAGGGUUUACAUCUGCAGCAAAAAUUAAACGUUCUGCAAAGAGAGGGCAGUCAGUCAGGUAUGUGUCUUAAUUGCUCUGAAUAUCAGUUUCACUAUCAGUUUCUCUUCUUUAAAACUGCUUAAGAUUGUGUCAAGCCUGAAGGUAACCACAUACUGAUAGAGGGAAUCCCGGUGCCAACGAAGCAGCCCGGCAGCCCUCACGAGAGCGGCUGACGCAGCGCGUGGACGUUGCCUGGGCAACGGCGGGAGAUUUAAACGGGCUCCAAACGCGGAAGAAGCCCUUUGAUCGCCGAUCUCAGCUGCCUCGGAGCCGUCCCGGACGGAUCAGCAGCGGCCGACGGCGUGGUUCAAAGGGGUCUCGAACCGUUCCUUCACUCGGG
rnacentral:lncRNA from 7 species